GAUGAACGCUGGCGGCGUGCCUAAUACAUGCAAGUCGAGCGAACAGACGAGGAGCUUGCUCCUCUGACGUUAGCGGCGGACGGGUGAGUAACACGUGGAUAACCUAUCUAUAAGACUAGGAUAACUUCGGGAAACCGGAGCUAAUACCGGAUAAUAUAUUGAACCGCAUGGUUCAAUAGUGAAAGACGGUUUUGCUGUCACUUAUAGAUGGAUCCGCGCCGCAUUAGCUAGUUGGUAAGGUAACGGCUUACCAAGGCAACGAUGCGUAGCCGACCUGAGAGGGUGAUCGGCCACACUGGAACUGAGACACGGUCCAGACUCCUACGGGAGGCAGCAGUAGGGAAUCUUCCGCAAUGGGCGAAAGCUUGACGGAGCAACGCCGCGUGAGUGAUGAAGGUCUUCGGAUCGUAAAACUCUGUUAUUAGGGAAGAACAAAUGUGUAAGUAACUAUGCACGUCUUGACGGUACCUAAUCAGAAAGCCACGGCUAACUACGUG
rnacentral:rRNA from 1 species